AGUGAACGCUGGCGGUAGGCCUAACACAUGCGAGUCGAACGGCAGCACAGUAAGAGCUUGCUCUUACGGGUGGCGAGUGGCGGACGGGUGAGGAAUACAUCGGAAUCUACUUUUUCGUGGGGGAUAACGUAGGGAAACUUACGCUAAUACCGCAUACGACCUACGGGUGAAAGCAGGGGAUCUUCGGACCUUGCGCGAUUGAAUGAGCCGAUGUCGGAUUAGCUAGUUGGCGGGGUAAAGGCCCACCAAGGCGACGAUCCGUAGCUGGUCUGAGAGGAUGGUCAGCCACACUGGAACUGAGACACGGUCCAGACUCCUACGGGAGGCAGCAGUGGGGAAUAUUGGACAAUGGGCGCAAGCCUGAUCCAGCCAUACCGCGUGGGUGAAGAAGGCCUUCGGGUUGUAAAGCCCUUUUGUUGGGAAAGAAAAGCAGCAGGUUAAUACCCCGCUGUUCUGACGGUACCCAAAGAAUAAGCACCGGCUAACUUCGUG
rnacentral:rRNA from 1 species